rnacentral:rRNA from 1 species
CGACAAACGGAGGAGCAUGUGGUUAAUUCGUAUGAUACGCGAGGAACCUUACCUGGGCUCGAACGUAAGAUGACUGUAGGUGAAAGCUUACAUCUCUUCGGAGCAUUUUACGAGGUGCUGCAUGGUUGUCGUCAGCUCGUGCCGUGAGGUGUCGGGUUAAGUCCCAUAACGAGCGCAACCCCUACCUUUAGUUGCCAUCAGGUUAAGCUGGGGACUCUAAAGGAACUGCCUACGCAAGUAGUGAGGAAGCGGGGAUGACGUCAAAUCAGCACGGCCCUUACGUCCAGGGCUACACACGUGCUACAAUGGCCGAUACAGAGGGCAGCUACCUGGUGACAGGAUGCAAAUCUCCAAAGUCGGUCUCAGUUCGGAUCGGAGUCUGCAACCCGACUCCGUGAAGUUGGAUUCGCUAGUAAUCGCGCAUCAGCCAUGGCGCGGUGAAUACGUUCCCGGGCCUU